AACCUAGCACACCUGCGGUGUGUACCUGCGGAAGGAUCAUUACCGAGUUAGGGUCUUUUGGCCCGACCUCCAACCCUUUGUUUAUUAUACCAUGUUGCUUUGGUGGGCCUGCCUUUCGGGGCUGCCGGGGGCAUCACUGCCCCUGACUCGUGCCUGCCAGGAGCCUUCUUAAAUUCAGUGUUCAACGGUGCUGUCUGAGUCCCAGUAUCAAAAUAUCAAAAACUUUCAACAACGGAUCUC
rnacentral:misc_RNA from 1 species